rnacentral:rRNA from 1 species
CCCUUAGAUGUUCUGGGCCGCACGCGCGCUACACUGAUUCAUGCAACAAGUUUUGUCCUUGGCUGAUAGGCCUGGGUAAUCUUUGAACGUGAAUCGUGAUGGGGAUAGAUGAUUGCAAUUAUUCAUCUUCAACGAGGAAUUCCUAGUAAACGCAAGUCAUCAGCUUGCAUUGAUUACGCCCCUGCCCUUUGUACACACCGCCCGUCGCACCUACCGAUUGAAUGGUCCGGUGAAAUCUUCGGAUCUGAGAGAUGUCUGAUUAAUUUCGGACGCCUUUUGGAAAAGUUGCUUAAACCUUACCAUUUAGAGGAAGGUGAANUCGUAACA